AUCAGUUUCCCAUUUUCGUUUUCGUGUGUGACGUUUUAGAGAAAAUGGAGAGGUCCUCGUCGCCUCCUCUGUUGUUGCUACUGCUGCUCUCUUCCCUCGCCGUCGUCUACUCCGCUGUCGAUCCGCCUCAGAUCACCGUGAAACCCGACGUUGCUCCCGAGUCCCUCCCGAUUAACUACAUCCAGGAAGUUGGAAGCUGUUCUUACGAGGUUACAGUAGCAACAAGCUGUUCAUCUCCUUCAUUUAUCACUGACGAAAUCGGUGUGUUGUUUGGAGAUUCUCAUGGAAAUCAGAUUGUGGAGAAGAAGUUGAGCAAUGGAGACAAGGUGUUUGAUAGUUGUAAUACAGAUAGGUUUGUUCUAAAUGAUCGACCCUGCAGUGUCCAAAUCAAUUAUAUGUAUAUCUAUAAAGACGGAGCUGACGAUUGGCUUCCGAACUCUGUUGAAAUCUCUGGCUCUGGAAUCAAACCCCUUUUGUUCAUCUUCAAAUCCUCCAUCCCAAGAAACACUUGGUUUGGCUUUGAUUUACGCCAAUAUCCUUUUCCAUCGCCGCCGUCUUACAACCCGUACCCUCCUUUUCCAUCGUUGUCUCCUCCUCCUCCUCCUCCUCCCCAUCCCCUGCCACCGCCGCCGGAGCCAAUUCUUUCUCCUCCGCCUCCACCUAAGCCUGUUCUUCCCCCACCGUCUCCUCCUCCUCCUCCUCCCCAUCCCCUGCCACCGCCGCCGGAGCCAAUUUUUUCUCCUCCGCCUCCACCUAAGCCUGUUCUUCCCCCACCGCCUCCUCCUCCACCAUCAUCCUCCAGCAAAAUCUCUGGUCUGAAAUUGGCUAAGGUAUCUGUGGUUUUGGGAUUGCUGUUUGCUCUUCUGUGAUUCUGCAGUAGCUGCUUGCUUUAUGUAGUAGUUUGAUUUUGUAGUGGUGGGUGGGUGAUGUUAAUGUUCAAGUUUCAUCCCCCAUUCCACCAUGUUGUAGUACCAAUGUAUGCUUUCAAAGCAUUAGUGGAACUUUAUCUUUUCAGCUGUAUGGCUAUAGGCCUGGUGCAAUUCUGCAGCCACUGUUUGUUCUAUGUGGGUGGCGGUUGAGAAUGGUAGCUCUAUGGUGGUGGGUGAUACUAUAUUUACGAUUCAUCUCCUUUUCCACCAUGUUUUAAGGUCUAGACAAGCAAGUUUUACCGAACCUCUUUAUGUUAUCGUCUUUCAGUUGUAUUGGAUACAUGCCUUCUCUAUGAAAGUCGGCCAAGCUAUCUAUGUCGAAAGUUGUAUGGUGUUUUAUUUGUCAAUAAUGUGGGAUGGAGUGGAUGUGUUAAAUUUU